rnacentral:tRNA from 1 species
GCUUAUAUAGCUUAAGUAAGAGUGUGGCUUUGAAGCAGCCGAGGUAGUAGUAUACUUAUGAGUA